UUACUGAAAAAAUAGUGUUUUUAUUUACUUUUGAGUUACAUACCUGAAGUUCAAAAAGUAAGCCUCUAGUUGCCAUUCAAGUUCACACUCGAGGGUGUUCUGUGUGCAGCUGUACAAUUUGUUGGUUUGUCUUUAAUAUUGAACAAAAGUCAGCCAACCCAUACCAUAAAGUCAGCUGCCCAAACUCACUUUAGCCAGUCCAUACAUACAUACAGAAAAGAGAGAGAGAGGGAGAACACAAAAGCCGCCCCUAAGUCACCCACCCCAAACCCCAAGGGAAAAAUCAGAAAGAAGACAAAAUACAGCAAGAUAUCAGGAGCCAGUGGGAGGAGGGAGAUUCAGCCCAACUGGCCUCUUCGAGAACAGCACCAUGAAGCACCCUAGCGCAGUGAUGUUGUAAUACUCAACAUUCAAGAAAUGGAAACGAGGUUGGAGUUGUCUUCACAGGAAGACCUGGCAUGGAUCGGGGGUCACCCCCAAAGAAAGUGGAAGAAAGAAAGAGUUCGAAAUGAGAGCAAGAAAUCUCAUGACGAAACUGACAGUCAUAUCCAGAAAAGAAGAACUACAGCAAGAGGCUGCCACGCACCGAGAGGUACAGAGUUUGUAAGGGAUCUGGGGGAGGUAGCAUCAGGAGCCCCUCCCCACCCACACUGCCUGCUCACCCCCACCCUCUGUGUGUCCACAGACCACCAGGUGAAAUGGAGGAAAGAAGCUCAUCUAAAACUUGCCUCCAAGUGUGCGAUGGGAGAAUUCUAUCCCGCAUGAUCAAAGUCCCUCCUGGGAAGAGAAAAAACUGAAGACCAAGGGGCAGGAGUCGCUGACAUGAAGCAGGAUGUGGUCCCUUCACGUCAGUGGCUGCAGAAAAGCAGCAGCAACUGGUGACAGUGCCCCCUUCCGGGCCCUCUAUCCCUAGCCCCACAAAUGGCAGUUAGGAAAUUAAAUCUGAAUGGGAGGUCAAGACCUUUUGACACUGAUGUAUACAACUUAGCAAGUGGAGCGUUAAACUGCUGUUCUCCCCUAGCCAACAAUUCCCCUUUCUAACACCUCAGUCUAAAGUUCCAGAAUCAAGACUAUCCCAUCAAGUACCUUCCUCCCGGUCCCCAGACUCUGCGACCCCACCCUCCAGUGCCACAGUCAACCCCCUACAGACAGGAAGUGUGCUAUGCAGGCUUGCUUCUUCCCCCGCCUCCUACUCUCAAACUGCUCAAAGUGGGUUGAUAGGAACAUCGACCACAAAGAGGAGUGGAAGCGCGCAGCAAAAAUCCAAGACAAGGCCCCUCUUCCCCAAGCUGUUGGUUGGUGACAAUGGGGAAGAGGGACAGGCCCACACUGACCCACGGGAGGGCGGUUCUCACAGAUCUCCCUAUUCCCAACUCUUGCUCUGUACAGCAGACAGAGGUAGCAAGACAGAAACAACUCCUCAGAUACCCCCACCUUCUACCAAAGGGGAAAAGCACCAAAAUUCAAUGUCCAUUCUGCUGCGGGGACCAAGGAAUGUGUCCCAAGCAUGGGGAAGAGCUCAGGCUCCUGGCAGUGGCUGUGGGCCGUAGAGGCCCCAUCAGAGCACACUCAUCCACCUGUCCCACCAACUGAUGCCACAAGCGGUUCCCAGGCCUCCUCCUUACUCCACAUAAAGCUGAUCUCAAUGCCCUUUGCUCCAAGUGCCUUAAGGGCUGGCUCUUCAGAGAAGCUGGAAGUCCCCUCUGACACCCACUCUUACCUCAUCUUGCUAAGCAGUGGAGCAGAAAGGUCACAGGGAGGCACUAACAUCCCCUCCACACUGUACAAUUUCAAGGUACAUAGCCCCAUCUUCCCUUUCCCUCCCCAAAACAAAGAGUCCAGUUGGAGGCUGAGGAAUGGAAUGGUGACAUGCGGACCAGUGGCUCUCCCAGACCUUGAUGCUGCUGAGGACCUAGUCUUGGGCUGGCCCUGGUGGGAGGGUGAGCCCUAGGACGUGCCCGGGGUGCUGGAACGAUUUACUCUGCUGGUGGCAUGUGGCCCAGAAGUCGGGCAGAGUCCACGGAAACAGAGGGGAUGGUGGGUCUAGGAGCCAAAAGAACGGUGAUGGAAGCCUCCCUCGUGCAGAGACCGUGGUGGCCUGGGAAGGCUUCAAGGUGGGAAGGGAACAGAAUUUGCAGCUCUUCUUCUUGCCCAAGUCCCCUGAAAAAUCUUACAAGAAAUACUCAGCUGCAGGAGGCUGGAAGAAAGAUCAGUCAAGGCAAGGAUGGACACACUGCGAGUGGCGCCAGCACUGGGCCCUUCCAGCUGUGUGGACACAGCCCAUUUCCCAUCAGCAUCCUCGGAAAGUGGGAAGUGUUCUCAGCAGUUAAUCUGAGGACCCAAGGACAGUGCCUGACUGAAUGGCAGGGCCUCAUAGGUCCAUGCGAGGAUCAAGAGUUAGACUCAAGCUUCACCCGAACCUACUCUUCCCAUAAUACACCAAAACUGUCAACCAAGCCCUUCGCACAGUGAAGCCAUCUGC
ensembl:lncRNA